GACGAACCGUGCGAACGUUGUUCGGAUUCACUGGGCUUAAAGGGCGCGUAGGCGGGUCGGCGAGUCCGGGGUGAAAUCUUUCGGCCCAACCGGAAAAGGGCCUCGGAUACCGGCGACCUCGAGGGGGGUAGGGGCGUGUGGAACUUCCGGUGGAGCGGUGAAAUGCGUUGAUAUCGGAAGGAACUCCGGUGGCGAAGGCGACGCGCUGGGCCCCUCCUGACGCUGAGGCGCGAAAGCCAGGGGAGCGAACGGG
rnacentral:rRNA from 1 species